GGCUCAUUAGCUUAAUUGGUUAGAGUGUUGUGCUAAUAACUUGAAAGUCACAGGUUUAAGUCUUGCUUGGGCUA
rnacentral:tRNA from 1 species